AUGGAUUUAGUUCGUGAUUGUGGCGUAAUAGACAGCACUGAUGAGCAUUUCAUUGCAACUGAGCUCUAUUGCCCAGGCUUCACACACAUCGUUUCAGUCAUAUUUGGCAAGUAUUGUGAAAGUUGGGUGAUGAAGGCCGAGCCUCGGAAAUCUAUUUUGAGUGGAUUUGGAUGGCUUCAAGAGACUAUUGCCACACCGGGAGAGACCUACACAAUGUUGAGAACGACGGCAAGUGUGUUCUUUGAUCUUCAUGACUUGUUGGUACGUGACUAUGGUCUCAAAGAAACAAGCUUUGUUAGCACUUAUGAGUCUCUUGCUAUGUUCUUGUGGACAUUGGGUGGUUGUGAAUCAAAUAGAAGAACUCAAAAUCGCUUCAAACAUUCAACGGAUACAAUCCAUCGUAAAUUCCAUGAGGUUCUACAAUGUGUAGUGAACAUGGCAUCUCACUACCUUAAGCCACAAGACCCAAACUUCCACAUUGUGCAUGAUCUAAUUAAAAAGGAUAGGAGGGCUUAUCCUCAUCUCAAAGAUUGCAUUGGUGCAAUCGACGGGACUCAUAUAAGAGCUUCUAUUCCCGAUGGCCCACCGAAAGUUAGAUACAUUGGGAGGACGGGCAUGACAACUCAUGAUGGCGAUAUGUGA
rnacentral:rRNA from 1 species